CGCCCAGACUCCUACGGGAGGCAGCAGUGGGGAAUAUUGCACAAUGGGGGAAACCCUGAUGCAGCGACGCCGCGUGAGCGAUGAAGUAUUUCGGUCUGUAAAGCUCUAUCAGCAGGGAAGAAAAUGACGGUACCUGACUAAGAAGCCCCGGCUAACUACGUGCCAGCAGCCGCGGUAAUACGUAGGGGGCAAGCGUUAUCCGGAUUUACUGGGUGUAAAGGGAGCGUAGACGGUCCUGCAAGCCAGAUGUGAAAGCCCGGGGCUCAACCCCGGGACUGCAUUUGGAACUGUAAGGCUAGAGUGUCGGAGAGGCAGGCGGAAUUCCUAGUGUAGCGGUGAAAUGCGUAGAUAUUAGGAGGAACACCGGCGGCGAAGGCGGCCUGCUGGACCGUAACUGGCGUUGAGGCUCGAAAGCGUGGGGAGCAAACAGGAUUAGAUACCCCCGUAC
rnacentral:rRNA from 1 species